rnacentral:rRNA from 1 species
GAUGAACGCUGGCGGCGUGCCUAAUACAUGCAAGUAGAACGCUGAAGCUUGGUGCUUGCACCGAGCGGAUGAGUUGCGAACGGGUGAGUAACGCGUAGGUAACCUGCCUCUUAGCGGGGGAUAACUAUUGGAAACGAUAGCUAAUACCGCAUAAAAGUCAAUAUCGCAUGAUAUUGAUUUGAAAGGUGCAAAUGCAUCACUAAGAGAUGGACCUGCGUUGUAUUAGCUAGUUGGUGAGGUAACGGCUCACCAAGGCGACGAUACAUAGCCGACCUGAGAGGGUGAUCGGCCACACUGGGACUGAGACACGGCCCAGACUCCUACGGGAGGCAGCAGUAGGGAAUCUUCGGCAAUGGGGGCAACCCUGACCGAGCAACGCCGCGUGAGUGAAGAAGGUUUUCGGAUCGUAAAGCUCUGUUGUAAGAGAAGAACGAGUGUGAGAGUGGAAAGUUCACGCUGUGACGGUAUCUUACCAGAAAGGGACGGCUAACUACGUGCCAGCAGCCGCGGUAAUACGUAGGUCCCGAGCGUUAUCCGGAUUUAUUGGGCGUAAAGCGAGCGCAGGCGGUUAGAUAAGUCUGAAGUUAAAGGCUGUGGCUUAACCAUAGUACGCUUUGGAAACUGUUUAACUUGAGUGCAGAAGGGGAGAGUGGAAUUCCAUGUGUAGCGGUGAAAUGCGUAGAUAUAUGGAGGAACACCGGUGGCGAAAGCGGCUCUCUGGUCUGUAACUGACGCUGAGGCUCGAAAGCGUGGGGAGCAAACAGG